rnacentral:rRNA from 1 species
AUUGAACGCUGGCGGCAUGCCUUACACAUGCAAGUCGAACGGUAACAGGUCUUCGGAUGCUGACGAGUGGCGAACGGGUGAGUAAUACAUCGGAACGUGCCCGAGAGUGGGGGAUAACGAGGCGAAAGCUUUGCUAAUACCGCAUACGAUCUCAGGAUGAAAGCAGGGGACCGCAAGGCCUUGCGCUCACGGAGCGGCCGAUGGCAGAUUAGGUAGUUGGGGGGAUAAAAGCUUACCAAGCCGACGAUCUGUAGCUGGUCUGAGAGGACGACCAGCCACACUGGGACUGAGACACGGCCCAGACUCCUACGGGAGGCAGCAGUGGGGAAGUUUGGACAAUGGGCGCAAGCCUGAUCCAGCCAUGCCGCGUGCAGGAUGAAGGCCUUCGGGUUGUAAACUGCUUUUGUACGGAACGAAAAGACUCUGGUUAAUACCUGGGGUCCAUGACGGUACCGUAAGAAUAAGCACCGGCUAACCACGUGCCAGCCGCCGCCGUAACAC